AGUUUUAGAUGAAUUCACUUUUAUUACAAGUCCAUCAACAUGAUUUUUGUGUUGUGAUUCUUUUUAUCAUUAUUUUCUCCCAAAGAUUGAAUCAGAUGGUGACCAAAGGAGAAGAUUGUCUUCCUCCUGCAACAGAGCCGUCAAGAUGUUAUUCUCCUUCUUCUACGACUCCUCUUGCGGAGCUAGAGACUAUUCGAAGUUUAGAAAUCGUGGAACCAUCCUUUCUGUCUCCAGUUUGGUUGCUGGUGAUUUUUUGCAUCAUUAACUUGUUAAACUACAUGGACCGAGGUGCGAUAGCAAGCAAUGGUGUUAAUGGAAGUACCCAGAGUUGUAAUGAUAAGGGCAAAUGCACUCCUGCAACUGGAAUUCAGGGUCAUUAUAACCUAAGUAAUUUUGAGGAUGGUGUAUUGUCAUCUUCUUUCAUGGUUGGGCUUCUUAUUGCAUCACCAAUCUUUGCUUCCUUGGCAAAGAGCUUCAAUCCAUUUAGACUUAUUGGAGUAGGUUUAACUGUUUGGACUGUUGCAGUUCUUGGCUGCGGCAGUUCCUUUGCCUUUUGGUUUAUCGUCUUAUGUCGCAUGUUUGUUGGUGUAGGUGAAGCUUCUUUCAUUAGUCUUGCAGCUCCAUUUAUAGAUGAUAAUGCUCCUCAUAAACAGAAAGCUGCGUGGCUAGGACUGUUUUACAUGUGUAUACCAAGUGGUGUUGCUCUUGGUUAUGUCUAUGGCGGAUACGUCGGAAAACAUUUUAGUUGGCGCUAUGCGUUUUGGGGAGAAGCUGUUUUAAUGGCUCCAUUUGCUCUUCUUGGUUUCUUGUUGAAACCUUUGCAGUUAAAAGGGUUUCCUUCUGCUGAUUCAGUUGAAGUAAUGGCUUCAUCAGUAGGUGCAGAGAUGUCGAAAAACAACAAUCAUCUUCAAGCUGGUAAUGAGAUUGAGAAGGAUGAAGUUGAGGUUUCCAUUGAAACUUAUAAGUCAAGCUCCACCAACGCAAUUUGGAAAUCAAUAACUCAAUUUGCAAGAGACAUGAAAGUCCUAUGCAAAGAAAAGGUCUUUGUUGUUAAUGUCUUGGGUUAUGUAGCAUACAACUUUGUUAUUGGUGCAUAUUCAUAUUGGGGACCAAAGGCUGGCUAUAACAUUUAUAAAAUGAAAAACGCUGAUAUGAUCUUUGGGGCAGUAACUAUCAUUUGUGGGAUCGUUGGAACAUUAUCAGGUGGCUUAAUACUUGAUCAUGUCACUUCCACUAUUCCAAAUGCUUUCAAGCUUUUAUCUGGAGCAACAUUCUUAGGGGCGAUAUGUUGCUUUACUGCAUUUACCUUGAAGAGUUUAUACGGUUUCAUUGCUCUUUUCGCCAUAGGAGAGCUUCUCGUGUUUGCUACACAGCUUUGUCUUUCUUUAUAUCUACUUCUUCAGGCUCCUGUGAACUAUGUGUGUUUGCAUUGUGUGGAACCAAGUUUAAGACCAUUAUCAAUGGCUAUCUCCACUGUCGCUAUUCACAUAUUUGGCGAUGUUCCAUCUUCACCUCUUGUCGGUAUAGUUCAGGAUCAUAUCGACAGUUGGAGAAAAACAGCGUUGAUUCUUACAUCGGUUCUGUUCGUAGCUGCUGCGAUAUGGUUUAUAGGGAUAUUCAUAAACAGUGUAGAUCACUUUUAACGAAGAAGCUGAAAGUGAGAACCUGAGCAGCAGGCAAGAACAAUCGAUUAUGAUGAUGAAUCCAUAAAUACUUUAGCUUGUGUGUUGUAUAGAGUUGUCACUGGUGAUGAACGAGUGUAUAUUUAUAAAAUAUUGUUCCGUUUGAAGUUGCUAUUGGUGAAAAGAAAAGGCAAGAGAUAUCUUGAGGAGGGGUUAUGCAGAUGGUUUGAGACAAGAACAUGAUGCACUUGUGAAAGUUCUUCAUUUCUUGACUUAUAGAACUUGAUUUUGUAAAUGU